rnacentral:lncRNA from 1 species
AUUUUUAUCCCAUCUGGCCAACUUUCUUGACUGAAGAAACACUAUUGUUCAUUCUUUUAAAGAGGAGAAAAAUUAAAAAUUUGCUUUAGCCACCAUUAUUCCUUGCUAUAGUAGAUCUUCAUUGGGAAAUGAUAGCAUUCAUUAAUGGUGUUGAUAAGUGGGUGGGAACAGUUAAAUUAUCUUCAUUUGUCUUUUACAAGGAACCAUUACUAUUAGUAUACAUUUCCUUUAACUCUAUAUUCAUCCGUUUUUCUCUUCUCUGUUAAAUAAUACAACUCCCGAGGGAACGAACUCCCAUCCCCUUACGAAUCAAUAUUUUUGGGCAAAAAUUGAUUAACCUUUCUUCCAGUUUAUCAUAAUCUAUAUACCCAGUCCAUGGGAAGAAAUUAUUAUAAAAUUGAAAAUAA